rnacentral:rRNA from 1 species
UUAGGAAUUUUGGGCAAUGGGCGAAAGCCUGACCCAGCAACGCCGCGUGGGGGACGAAGGCCUUCGGGUCGUAAACCCCUUUUCCGAGGGAAGAUAGUGACGGUACCUCGGGAAUAAGCCCCGGCUAACUACGUGCCAGCAGCCGCGGUAAUACGUAGGGGGCUAGCGUUGUCCGGAUUUAUUGGGCGUAAAGCGCACGCAGGCGGCACGGCAAGUGAUCGGUGAAAUCCUCCGGCUCAACUGGAGGGGGUCCGGUCAUACUGCCGCGCUCGAGGUCGCGAGGGGGAAGCGGAAUUCCCGGUGUAGUGGUGGAAUGCGUAGAUAUCGGGAGGAACACCAGUGGCGAAGGCGGCUUCCUGGCGCGAUGCUGACGCUGAGGUGCGAAAGCGUGGGGAGCGAUCCG